UACGUAGGGUGCGAGCGUUAAUCGGAAUUACUGGGCGUAAAGCGUGCGCAGGCGGCUUUGCAAGACAGAGGUGAAAUCCCCGGGCUCAACCUGGGAACUGCCUUUGUGACUGCAAGGCUAGAGUACGGCAGAGGGGGAUGGAAUUCCGCGUGUAGCAGUGAAAUGCGUAGAUAUGCGGAGGAACACCGAUGGCGAAGGCAAUCCCCUGGGCCUGUACUGACGCUCAUGAACGAAAGCGUGGGGAGCAAACAGG
rnacentral:rRNA from 1 species